rnacentral:piRNA from 1 species
UCUCCUGCUUCAGCAAAACUUUCACAGUGAC